AGCGUACACGGUGGAUGCCCUGGCAGUCAGAGGCGAUGAAGGACGUGCUAAUCUGCGAUAAGCGCCGGUAAGGUGAUAUGAACCGUUAUAACCGGCGAUUUCCGAAUGGGGAAACCCAGUGUGAUUCGUCACACUAUCAUUAACUGAAUCCAUAGGUUAAUGAGGCGAACCGGGGGAACUGAAACAUCUAAGUACCCCGAGGAAAAGAAAUCAACCGAGAUUCCCCCAGUAGCGGCGAGCGAACGGGGAGGAGCCCAGAGCCUGAAUCAGCAUGUGUGUUAGUGGAAGCGUCUGGAAAGGCGCGCGAUACAGGGUGACAGCCCCGUACACAAAAGCGCAUGUGCUGUGAGCUCGAUGAGUAGGGCGGGACACGUGGUAUCCUGUCUGAAUAUGGGGGGACCAUCCUCCAAGGCUAAAUACUCCUGACUGACCGAUAGUGAACCAGUACCGUGAGGGAAAGGCGAAAAGAACCCCGGCGAGGGGAGUGAAAAAGAACCUGAAACCGUGUACGUACAAGCAGUGGGAGCCCCACCACUAAGCCAGUGGUGAACUCCACAUCCGCAUCCUUUGCUGAGGAUACGGUUAACGGAGCGAAAGCGACGUUCAACCGCAAAACAAGCAGAGGGGGCUUAGUGGUGGGGUGACUGCGUACCUUUUGUAUAAUGGGUCAGCGACUUAUAUUCUGUAGCAAGGUUAACCGAAUAGGGGAGCCGGAGGGAAACCGAGUCUUAAUUGGGCGUUAAGUUGCAGGGUAUAGACCCGAAACCCGGUGAUCUAGCCAUGGGCAGGUUGAAGGUUGGGUAACACUAACUGGAGGACCGAACCGACUAAUGUUGAAAAAUUAGCGGAUGACCUGUGGCUGGGGGUGAAAGGCCAAUCAAACCGGGAGAUAGCUGGUUCUCCCCGAAAGCUAUUUAGGUAGCGCCUCGUGAAUUCAUCUCCGGGGGUAGAGCACUGUUUCGGCUAGGGGGCCAUCCCGGCUUACCAACCCGAUGCAAACUGCGAAUACCGGAGAAUGUUAUCACGGGAGACACACGGCGGGUGCUAACGUCCGUCGUGAAGAGGGAAACAACCCAGACCGCCAGCUAAGGUCCCAAAGUCAUGGUUAAGUGGGAAACGAUGUGGGAAGGCCCAGACAGCCAGGAUGUUGGCUUAGAAGCAGCCAUCAUUUAAAGAAAGCGUAAUAGCUCACUGGUCGAGUCGGCCUGCGCGGAAGAUGUAACGGGGCUAAACCAUGCACCGAAGCUGCGGCAGCGAACGUAUCACCCAAGACAACUUUACGGAGUUGACGAUUGACGGAGCGAAGCGACGUCAAAGCGUUCAUUAAAGUCGAGUUGGCUUAGGGAUACGUUCGUUGGGUAGGGGAGCGUUCUGUAAGCCUGUGAAGGUGUGUCGUGAGGCAUGCUGGAGGUAUCAGAAGUGCGAAUGCUGACAUAAGUAACGAUAAAGCGGGUGAAAAGCCCGCUCGCCGGAAGACCAAGGGUUCCUGUCCAACGUUAAUCGGGGCAGGGUGAGUCGACCCCUAAGGCGAGGCCGAAAGGCGUAGUCGAUGGGAAACGGGUUAAUAUUCCCGUACUUGGUGUUACUGCGAAGGGGGGACGGAGAAGGCUAUGUUGGCCGGGCGACGGUUGUCCCGGUUUAAGCGUGUAGGUGUGUGUUCCAGGUAAAUCCGGUUCACUUUAACACUGAGGCGUGAUGACGAGGCACUACGGUGCUGAAGCAACAAAUGCCCUGCUUCCAGGAAAAGCCUCUAAGCAUCAGGUAACAUCAAAUCGUACCCCAAACCGACACAGGUGGUCAGGUAGAGAAUACCAAGGCGCUUGAGAGAACUCGGGUGAAGGAACUAGGCAAAAUGGUGCCGUAACUUCGGGAGAAGGCACGCUGACACGUAGGUGAAGUGAUUUACUCACGGAGCUGAAGUCAGUCGAAGAUACCAGCUGGCUGCAACUGUUUAUUAAAAACACAGCACUGUGCAAACACGAAAGUGGACGUAUACGGUGUGACGCCUGCCCGGUGCCGGAAGGUUAAUUGAUGGGGUCAGCGCAAGCGAAGCUCCUGAUCGAAGCCCCGGUAAACGGCGGCCGUAACUAUAACGGUCCUAAGGUAGCGAAAUUCCUUGUCGGGUAAGUUCCGACCUGCACGAAUGGCGUAAUGAUGGCCAGGCUGUCUCCACCCGAGACUCAGUGAAAUUGAACUCGCUGUGAAGAUGCAGUGUACCCGCGGCAAGACGGAAAGACCCCGUGAACCUUUACUAUAGCUUGACACUGAACAUUGAGCCUUGAUGUGUAGGAUAGGUGGGAGGCUUUGAAGUGUGGACGCCAGUCUGCAUGGAGCCGACCUUGAAAUACCACCCUUUAAUGUUUGAUGUUCUAACGUGGACCCGUAAUCCGGGUUGCGGACAGUGUCUGGUGGGUAGUUUGACUGGGGCGGUCUCCUCCUAAAGAGUAACGGAGGAGCACGAAGGUUGGCUAAUCCUGGUCGGACAUCAGGAGGUUAGUGCAAUGGCAUAAGCCAGCUUGACUGCGAGCGUGACGGCGCGAGCAGGUGCGAAAGCAGGUCAUAGUGAUCCGGUGGUUCUGAAUGGAAGGGCCAUCGCUCAACGGAUAAAAGGUACUCCGGGGAUAACAGGCUGAUACCGCCCAAGAGUUCAUAUCGACGGCGGUGUUUGGCACCUCGAUGUCGGCUCAUCACAUCCUGGGGCUGAAGUAGGUCCCAAGGGUAUGGCUGUUCGCCAUUUAAAGUGGUACGCGAGCUGGGUUUAGAACGUCGUGAGACAGUUCGGUCCCUAUCUGCCGUGGGCGCUGGAGAACUGAGGGGGGCUGCUCCUAGUACGAGAGGACCGGAGUGGACGCAUCACUGGUGUUCGGGUUGUCAUGCCAAUGGCACUGCCCGGUAGCUAAAUGCGGAAGAGAUAAGUGCUGAAAGCAUCUAAGCACGAAACUUGCCCCGAGAUGAGUUCU
rnacentral:rRNA from 1 species